UGCCGCAGACAAAGAGUGUGCUUCACGCGCCCGCCCGCGCCGCUCGGAGGGAGGAAGCGCGGUGAGUGCCGUGGCGACUGCCGGGGCCGAUAACCUUCUGGGAGCCGGCCGCCAGCGGGAUGCAAGGACCUCAGCUAGUGUGCCACGCGGGCCAGCUAUGCAGGGGACAGGGCCUGGGAAACUUCGACCUGGGUUCGUUUCCGAGUCUGCCGCGGGACCUCAGCGUCCUCGCCUGUUUAAUGGGACACUGCCGUGAAAACGGACAUGCAACGCCGGGACCUUCCGAGGCCUGCAGGCCCGAGCACGACUAGUCGAGAAACUCCUUGGGCGGCGAAAGGGCGCCCUCGUAGCGCUCUCGCCUGUCCUGCCUGCGCGCCCACCUGGAGGUGGCCUCUGGGGCUUCCGGUCUCCGGAGAACACGCGGGAAUGAGAGGGUCUGAGCGCGCCGCGCGCUUCCGGCAGGGCCGGGCGCUGUGCUGGGUGAGAGGAGACCGAACUUCAAAGCAGGCGGGCAGAGGGGCGAGGGGCUCCGCCAAGCCCCGGGGCCCUCACCUUCCGGCGGGCUGAGGGAGGGCUCGCCGGAGCAGCGCCAGGCUGCGAGGGAGGUGCCGGGACCCGCUGAGAACUUCCGGGCCCUGCGGGCCUGGUGGCGGGGACUCCAGCCACAGUGCAGAGGGCCUCCGGCAAGACCCUGUGCCACGUUUCGCCGCCCUUUUCGUCCUGUGUUGCCAGGUUCUGCAGUACAGCCACUGAUUGCAGUGAAUGCGUGUCCGUGGAGGGACCUUACCUGGGGAGGAUGCCAGCGUCUGUCACUGGUGAAACUUGGUGAUACAGAAGCCAGGGGAUUCCACUGCUCCUGUGUGUUUCAGUUUAUCCUUAGGAUCUAAAUUUAACCAUCGUUAAGCAGAGACCCAAACCCCAGGGCUGCUGACUCCUAGUCCAGUGCUCGUGAUGGCUGGUGGGCCCUGAACUAGGGGUCUGGAGGCCUAGGUUUGAAUAUCACCAGCCUUCGACCCAGCCAGGUGGCUCAUGGGAUGCGUUGGGGAGACUGUGAAAGGUCGGAGCACAACAAGACACUGAGUCAGGAAAAAAUAUUACAUAAAAACUGAUAAGACAAGGACAGUCUGUUUUGCUUUAUUUUUUAAGAGAACAUGUGUGCCUUUAAGUGGGUACUGUGCCUGGGGUGGUAGCACUGAGCUCUGCCUCCCUGGGGGUCUUGGGAAGGGGCCAAGCAGCAGCCUGGUACACAGUAGACAAACCAUGGCUGAGCUCAGAAACCCUGCAGGGAGGCCUCAUGGGAGCCCCCUGCAAGGAUCCAGGUGAGGCCUGCAGGCCUCUAGCUGUGGCCCUGCCAGGACAGCAGGACAGUGGGGGUGGGCUGGUGGUGGGGAACAGCAUUCUGCCUAGGGCCAGUCAGCAGGGGAGAGGUGGGGGUGGGAGGCACUUAAGGUUGGACCAGGAUCUGACCUGCUUACCUCAGGUGCCCCGGGGCCUCUUGGUGGGCACUGGGUAGGGGACUGGGGGUAGGUACUGAGAUGGGCUUUGUGAAUCACCUCCCUAAAGAGUCCCUGUUGCCCGAGAAUUCUUCAUCCUGGCGUGGCUGUGCCUGGUGCUGGGGACACAACAGACAGCAGUCUUCCACCUCCUUGGCCUCCGUGUGGUUGGAGAGAGAGAGAGAGCAAGCAGAAGGCAACACCGAGUAACCGGAUGGACAUGUGCUGCCGCACAGAGCCUGCCUUUCACUCCCAGGACCAGAGGGAGGCUGGAAGCGGAACUGUUUCAGGGGAUGAGUCAGGUCACUGAUAAGGGUGGAUUUUUAUUUGGUAAUUUAUUUUAUCAUUUCUUGCACAAGACAGUGGGGAAACAGCCAUCAGCAGGCAGAAAGGAAAAGCAAGUCCUCUGCUCUCCGGGCUCUGGAAUCUAUUGAAUUAAAUGAGAAGUGGGCUGUCAGUUGGUUCCCAUCUCAGUGCCAUGAGCCCCUGAGGCCCAGGGUGACCUGGCUACAGCCUCACUGCUUGUCUUUCAUCCCCUAAUUGCUCCACUCAGGUUUGCACUCCCACCUCAGGGCCUUUGUACUGGCUGCUCCUGUACCCGCUCCUGGGAAGCUCAUUCCCCAUCCCCCAACCUUGCAUAGAUCUAUCUCCAGAACUUCCUUUGUCCCCUCAGAAGGAGCUUGGCUAACCCUCUGCUGUGAUCUUCGUGUUCAUGUGUUGAAAUCCUACCCUCCAACAUGAUGGCAUUAGGAAGAGAGCCUCUGCAGGCUUGACAGCUGACCCUUCUCCGGGGACAUGUGGCUUGUGAGAGAAACACAAGGGAUGGUUCCAGUUUUUCUAAGAUGUGUUUUAAGAAUUAAAAACAUCAGGAACAGA